AACGUAAGAUGCAGAGAUACAUACACACAGAUAGAUCUCAAUUUCCCAAAUAGAAUUACAACAUACACCCCACUCAACCCAUCAAAACGCGUCUUCUUUUUCCCUUUAUUUCUUCCCUUCCUCCCUCUAUAUAUAUGCAACACACCGUUACAACCUGCGAUGCCAUUCUCUCCUACAACAACAUCAUCAUGCCUCCAACACUACUCUUCUUCUUCUUCUUUCCUCUUCUCUCCUCUGCACAACUCAACCACACCUCAUUCUCACUCUCUUUCCCUCUCACUUCACUCCCUCUCCCCACCAACACCGCCUCCAACAUGCUACGCGACUCUCUCAUUGUGUACACAAACCGCACCAGAAACACCACGCGACUCGUUUCGCCUUCUUCUCCCUAUAACUACAGGCUCACCUUCAAUUACUCCAUGGCUUUGAUCGUCAACCUUCCCAUUGGGACCCCGCCGCAGGUUCAGCCUAUGGUCUUGGACACCGGAAGCCAACUCUCCUGGAUUCAGUGUCACAAAAAACCACCCAGGCUGCCUCCUCCAACGGCGUCCUUUGACCCUUCUCGCUCCUCCACUUUCUCUAAUCUCCCUUGUACUCACCCCGUUUGCAAACCGCGGAUUCCCGAUUUUACCCUCCCCACCUCCUGCGACCAGAACCGCCUCUGUCACUACUCCUACUUCUACGCCGACGGUACCUACGCCGAGGGAAAUCUCGUCAGAGAAAAAUUCACUUUCUCCCGUUCCCUUUUUACCCCUCCUUUGAUCCUCGGCUGCGCCACGGAGUCCACCGACCCCAGGGGCAUUUUGGGAAUGAACCGUGGACGCCUCUCAUUCGCUUCACAAUCUAAAAUUACCAAAUUCUCCUACUGCGUUCCCACCGAGAAACCCGACCCGGAUCCACUCCAACAGGCUCCUUCUACCUGGGCCACAACCCGAACUCUCUCCGGUUUCGGUUUAUCCCGAUGUUGACUUUUGCUCAGAGUCAACGUAUGCCAAAUCUUGACCCCUUGGCUUAUACCGUCGCCUUGCAGGGGAUAAGAAUCGGGGGCAGAAAACUGAACAUUUCGCCGGCGGUUUUUCGCGCCGACGCUGGCGGGUCGGGUCAAACCAUGAUUGACUCCGGAUCCGAGUUUACUUACCUCGUUAAUGAGGCUUAUGAUAAGGUGCGGGCGGAAGUAGUGAGGACUGUGGGGCCAAGAAUGAAGAAGGAUUACGUGUACGGUGGCAUUGCGGACAUGUGCUUCGACGGGAAUGCGAUUGAGAUCGGACGGAUGAUAGGGGACAUGGUGUUUGAGUUCGAGAAGGGCGUGGAAAUAGUGAUUCCCAAGGAGGGGGUUCUGGCUUCCGUGGAGGGUGGGGUCCAUUGCGUCGGGAUUGGCAACUCUGAUAAAUUAGGUGCGGCCAGUAACAUCAUCGGGAAUUUCCAUCAGCAGAAUCUGUGGGUGGAGUUUGAUCUCGCCAAUCGCAGAGUGGGUUUCGGUGCGGCUGAUUGUAGCAGAUUGGCUCCAUAGAGGGAAACCCUUAGAUACGUAAUGGUGCACGUACCUUACGUGUGUCAGCUGUAGGUAAUUAGGGAUUUUGUACGAAGGAAAUAUCAACGUGUCACGUGUAUGAGGAGUGUUAUACCGGUGAGAUGAUGAUGAUAAUGAAGUUGAAACUGAUCACACGGUCCAAGAGCGAUGAAGAAAAAGAAAGUUCUGCAGCUGUUGCCAUGAUGACACCAAAACGUGGUUCGUUUAAGAUCGACGUGUGGGGCUGGUUUUGGAGUAUGUGUGAGGAAGCCACAUAAAUAUGUUGUUCUCUGUAAUAUGAACGAGACCAUGACACAUUGUAUAUAUACGAGGAUUAAUUAGAGUAUGUCUAUUAUAAAUUUAAUAUUAAUAUAUAUAUGAACCAUUGGUUUGUUUUUUUUAAA